UUUUGAAGACAGUGAAAGGUUGUUGUCUCUCCCUAGGAAAUAAUAGCAAGCUCAGGCUCAUUUGUUGAAGAGGCUAAUGCUGCUGAUCUAAUACAGCGCAGACAGCGUUCUGAGUUUCAGUCAAGUGUGAAGGGGACCCUUUUUACAGCUAUAAAGGCAAACCCAGAUCUUGUUCCAUCCUUAUUGACUUUGGCGAUGAAUGAUGCUAUGACUUAUGAUAAGGCCACAAAAUCUGGUGGCC